rnacentral:rRNA from 1 species
CUCUGUGACUCCUACGGGAGGCAGCAGUGGGGAAUAUUGCACAAGUGGGGGAAACCCUGAUGCAGCCAUGCCGCGUGUGUGAAGAAGGCCUUCGGGUUGUAAAGCACUUUCAGUAGGGAGGAAGGUAGUGUAGUUAACACCUGCAUUAUUUGACGUUACCUACAGAAGAAGCACCGGCUAACUCCGUGCCAGCAGCCGCGGUAAUACGGAGGGUGCGAGCGUUAAUCGGAAUUACUGGGCGUAAAGCGCAUGCAGGCGGCCUGUUAAGUCAGAUGUGAAAGCCCGGGGCUUAACCUCGGAAUUGCAUUUGAAACUGGCAGGCUAGAGUCUUGUAGAGGGGGUAGAAUUUCAGGUGUAGCGGUGAAAUGCGUAGAGAUCUGAAGGAAUACCAGUGGCGAAGGCGGCCCCCUGGACAAAGACUGACGCUCAGAUGCGAAAGCGUGGGGAGCAAACAGGAUUAGAUACCCUGGUAA